UACGAAGGGGACUAGCGUUGUUCGGAAUUACUGGGCGUAAAGCGCACGUAGGCGGAUUUGUUAGUCAGGGGUGAAAUCCCGGGGCUCAACCUCGGAACUGCCUUUGAUACUGCAAAUCUCGAGUCCGAUAGAGGUGGGUGGAAAUUCCUAGUGUAGAGGUGAAAUUCGUAGAUAUUAGGAAGAACACCGGUGGCGAAGGCGGCCCACUGGAUCGGUACUGACGCUGAGGUGCGAAAGCGUGGGGAGCAAACAGG
rnacentral:rRNA from 1 species